CAGUAGCCACGGGAAUACGUAGGUGGCAAGCGUUGCCCGGAAUUAUUGGGCGUAAAGGGCUCGCAGGCGGUUUCUUAAGUCUGAUGUGAAAGCCCCCGGCUCAACCGGGGAGGGUCAUUGGAAACUGGGAAACUUGAGUGCAGAAGAGGAGAGUGGAAUUCCACGUGUAGCGGUGAAAUGCGUAGAGAUGUGGAGGAACACCAGUGGCGAAGGCGACUCUCUGGUCUGUAACUGACGCUGAGGAGCGAAAGCGUGGGGAGCGAACAGGAUUAGAGACCCGCGUAGUCCCUGUCUCUUAUAC
rnacentral:rRNA from 1 species